AACGAACGCUGGCGGCAGGCUUAACACAUGCAAGUCGAACGGGCGUAGCAAUACGUCAGUGGCGGACGGGUGAGUAACACGUGGGAAUGUGCCUUUCGGUUCGGAACAACUCGGGGAAACUCGUGCUAAUUCCGGAUACGCCCUUACGGGGAAAGAUUUAUCGCCGAAAGAUCAGCCCGCGUCCGAUUAGCUAGUUGGUGAGGUAAAGGCUCACCAAGGCACCGAUCGGUAGCUGGUUUGAGAGAACGACCAGCCACACUGGGACUGAGACACGGCCCAGACUCCUACGGGAGGCAGCAGUGGGGAAUCUUGGACAAUGGGCGCAAGCCUGAUCCAGCCAUGCCGCGUGAGUGAUGAAGGCCUUCGGGUU
rnacentral:rRNA from 1 species